AUUGAACGCUGGCGGCAGGCCUAACACAUGCAAGUCGGACGGUAGCACAGAGAGCUUGCUCUCGGGUGACGAGUGGCGGACGGGUGAGUAACGUCUGGGAAACUGCCCGAUGGAGGGAGAUAACUACUGGAAACGGUAGCUAAUACCGCAUAACGUCGCAAGACCAAAGUGGGGACCUUCGGGCCUCACACCAUCGGAUGUGCCCAGAUGGGAUUAGCUAGUAGGUGGGGUAAUGGCUCACCUAGGCGACGAUCCCUAGCUGGUCUGAGAGGAUGACCAGCCACACUGGAACUGAGACACGGGCCAGACUCCUACGGGAGGCAGCAGUGGGGAAUAUUGCACAAUGGGCGCAAGCCUGAUGCAGCCAUGCCGCGUGUAUGAAGAAGGCCUUCGGGUUGUAAAGUACUUUCAGCGGGGAGGAAGGCGGUGAAGUUAAUAACUUCACCGAUUGACGUUACCCGCAGAAGAAGCACCGGCUAACUCCGUGCCAGCCGCCGCAGUAA
rnacentral:rRNA from 1 species